UGGAUUGCUUAUAGGGAUUAGUAACCUCUCCCUUGAAUACGUACCAUGGUCACUCAUCAUAAUAUUAAGCUUGCCAUGAAUGAAAUAUAAAGAACUUCCAUAUUCUUAAAAGAAAAUAAAAAAAAUAAAAUCGUUCAGGAAAAUUAGCUUUCACUUGAAGAAGGUUGUGGUUGGGGUGUGUGGGGAGGAAGAGAACUCUAAGAUCAAACUUUCAAUUUCGUCCCUGCCCAACACCCCUCAUGGUAGUGCUAAUUUUUCCUCUCCCAAACUCUAAGUACAGCUUGGACUGGGAUUUAAGCCAAUCUUGAAACCU
rnacentral:misc_RNA from 1 species